ACGGGAGGCAGCAGUGGGGAAUAUUGGGCAAUGGGCGAAAGCCUGACCCAGCAACGCCGCGUGAAGGAAGAAGGCCUUCGGGUUGUAAACUUCUUUUACCAGGGACGAAGAAUGUGACGGUACCUGGAGAAAAAGCAACGGCUAACUACGUGCCAGCAGCCGCGGUAAUACGUAGGUUGCAAGCGUUGUCCGGAUUUACUGGGUGUAAAGGGAGCGUAGACGGCAUGGCAAGUCUGAUGUGAAAACCCGGGGCUCAACCCCGGGACUGCAUUGGAAACUGUCAGGCUAGAGUGCAGGAGAGGUAAGUGGAAUUCCUAGUGUAGCGGUGAAAUGCGUAGAUAUUAGGAGGAACACCAGUGGCGAAGGCGGCUUACUGGACUGUAACUGACGUUGAGGCUCGAAAGCGUGGGGAGCAAACAGGAUUAGAUACCCUGGUA
rnacentral:rRNA from 1 species